CCGCCCCGCCCCCAUCUCCCCCUCCCAACCGCUCCAGGUGAGAGCUCACCUGACGCCGCGCCUGCCUGGGGACGCGGCGGCGGAACGUGAAGCCCCCCGGGCCUGGAGAGGCUGGGAUGGGGUCCGAGGUGGGGACGAAGGAGUUUGUGCUUCUCCCGGGCGGGGGGAAGGGACGCACAGGAUUCUCUCCCCGGAGGUACAAGGGGUGGGGGGCGUAGAAGGAGGGCGGCGCCUGGAGUCUGUGGAGAAGCCGCGCGGGGUCCGCUCCGCUGCCCGGCGGUCCCGGUCUCUGCCCCGGUCCCGGGACUCUUUGAGGGCGGGGCCGGGUCCUGACGCAGAGCCGCUCUCCCGGAGCGGGAGAUCCACGUCUAUUGGCUGGGGGACCCUGCUGCCCGGCAAAAAGGGGUCCCUUAGAGCGGAGGAGGGAAAGAGAACCCGCUUUCCCAACGCGAGACUGUGUCCAGGGCGAGAUGCAAAGCGUGCCCUCGGUGGGCGUUUGACAAAGCGCUGCUGACGUUCCUGGGACAAAAAUCCAGAUUCUCUGGGCAUCGCAGAACUGCCCAGGUGGCAGCACCUGUUACUGAUAAUAAUUCCAACAGCGGCUCCCGUGUACCAAGCUCUACGUGUGUGCCAGGCUCGGCACAUAGCUUCACUGAAGCCUCGAGCCCCCUGUGAGGUUGGGGCAAUCGUUAUCCCCAUUGCACAGGUCCAGUGUCAAGGUUUACCGCAGUCUCUCCCUCUUGGCUUCUAUCACCGGGUUGUGCCAACCUUCCUCUUCUUGACCAGGCAUUCAGCGUGUUAUGGCCUGGGUGUAAUACCACAGGUCUCCAAUAGGGGUCGCUGACUACAACAGGAUGGGACACCUGUAGUUGAACGGAGAGAACCCUGGGUCCUAACUUAACCUUGUCCUUGGCUUCCUCUAUGACCUCGGUUUCCUCAUCCAUAAAGUGGAUAUAACAGUCCCUAGCUGCCUUCCUCACAGAACAGUGGUGAGAAAUGUGAGGAUGAAAGUGAACACCUUCCAUUCAGAAGAGGCAGCUUCCAUCCAGAUGUUUUCAAAAAACCAGUCAUCCCAUAAUUACUUUUUGAGCGUCACUCACCGUGCCAGGUGCCAUAUGGAAUCCAGAAAUUACUUCUACCUUCGCAUAAAAGAACUUUGAAUAAAAGUUUAAAGCAAACUGUAACCCUGACAGUCGGGGGAGAGGCUCGAGCGCUCCCUGGUGGGUGGAAACAGCAGCAUCCCCUGCCCCGGGAAAGAUGAGGGGAUGUGAAGCAGCAGGACGUCUACUUCAGCCUGUGGCUGGAAGUCUCUCGCAUCCAGUAACUCAUCUCUUCCUCUCACAACCCGGUUUGCGCAUGGGGAAACCGAGGCACAGCGAAGCGAAGUGACCUGCCCGAGAACCUGGAUUCCAGGAACCUCCCAGCCAGCUAAUCCCAGAACAUGGAGUGGAAAGGGACAGCACGGGAAGACAAGUGACCCGAGCGGGCAGGGAGGGACGGAGAAGGGAGGACCUUCCUGUCCUGACACCCUGGCC
rnacentral:lncRNA from 1 species